rnacentral:rRNA from 1 species
GUUCGAUUAUGGUCAGAUUGAACGCUGGCGGGAUGCUUUACAUGUAAAAGCCGAACGCAGCACGGACUUCGGUCUGGUGGCGAGUGGCGAACGGGUGAGUGAAUGUAUCGGAACGUGCCUAGUAGCGGGGGAUAAUCAUGUGCCGAAAGUAGUAGCUAAUACGCAUACCCCUUCGGGGGAAAGCGGGGACCUUCGCCCCGCACUAUUAGAGCGGCCGAUAUCGGAUUAGCUAGUUGGUGGGGUAACGGCUCACCAAGGCGAUUGAUCCGUAGCUGGUUUGAGAGGACGACCAGCCACAUCUGGACUGGAGACACGGCCUGACUCUACGGGAGGCAGCAGUGGGGAAUUUUGGGAUAAUGGGGGAAAACCCGAUCCAGCCAUCCCGGGCGUGUGCGAUGAAGGCCUUCGGGUUGUAAAGCACUUUGGCAGGAAGAAACGGCACGGGAUAAUGACCCUGUGCAACUGACGGUACCUGCAGAAUAAGCACCGGCUAACUACAAGCCAGCAAGCCGCGGUAAUACGUAGGGUGCAAGUGUUAAUCGGAAUUACUGGUGUAAAGCGUGCGCAGGCGGUUCGGAAAGGAGGAUGUGAACCCAGAGCUUAACUUUGGAACUGCAUUUUUAACUACCGAGUUAGAGUGUGUCAGGAGGGAGGUGAAAUUCCCGCGUGUAGCAGUGAAAUGCGUAGAUAUGCGGGAUCAAUUUGAUGGCGAAGGCAGCCUCCUGGGAUAACACUGACGCUCAUGCACGAAAGCGUGGGGAGCAAACAGGAUUAGAUACCCUGGCAGUCCACGCCCUAAACGACAGUCAACUCAGUUGCUGGGGCCUUUCGGGCCUUUGGUAGCGCAGCUAACGCGUGAAGUUGACCGCCUGGGAGUACGGUCGCAAGAUUAAAACCGUAUGAAUUGACGGGGACCAAAAGCGGUGUGAUGAUGUGAUUAAUUCUGACGGGGCGAAAACCUUACCUACCCUUGACAUGUUCGAAUCCCGAAGAGAUUUGGGGAGUGCGCUGCAAGAGAACCGGAACAGGUGCUGCAUGGCUGUCAGCCUGAACGCGUGGAGAUGCUUGGGGUUAAGUCCCGCAAUUCAGAGCGCAACCUUGUCAUUAGUUACAUGAAAGGGCACUCUAAUGAGACUGCCGGUGACAAACCGGAGGAAGGUGGGGAUGACGUCAAGUCCUCGCGGCCCGCAGGGUAGGGCUUCACACGUCAUACAAUGGUCGGGACAGAGGGUCGCCAACCCGCGAGGGGAGCCAAUCCCAGAAACCCGAUCGUAGUCCGGAUCGCAGUCUGCAACUCGACUGGUGGUGAAGUCGGAAUCGCUAAUAGAUCAUGAUCAGCAUGUCGCGGUGAAUACGUUCUCGGUCUUGUACACACUGCCCGUCACACCAUGGGAGUGGGUUUUACCAGAAGUAGUUAGCCUAACCGCAAGGAGGGCGAUUACCACGGUAGGAUUCACGACUGGAAGAAGUCGCAACACAAAA